AUACCAAGUAAUCAAGGGAGGUGCCAUGAUGGCGAAGGCGGUUUUCCUGGGCGAGGCUUAUCCAUUGCACUCCGGAUGUGCUGACCCCUACGAUUUCCCCAAAUGGGGGAAACUCAACUUCAUCAUUGGUGGUAGCGGGGGACUGCAUUUGCAACCUCCCC